GCUGGCCGACGGGAGCGGGAAGAGACCAGCAGAGCCCUCGCAUCAGCCUUCCCCUUGGGCAUGUGCGCCGUUGGGAAGGUGUUUGUUCAGCAGAACUGUGUGGGAAGCGAUGCUAACUAAGCCUGUGCAAAGACAGAAACUCAUUAGAACCAGUGAAAGCACAGCAAGAAGUCACUUUGUGGAUUGAUUUGGCAAGACAAGCCAAGUAUUGACAAAUACCUUAACAACGUCGAAAGUAGCCUAUUUUAAGAGGAAAUAUGCAGAAGAAGAAGAUUUACAUCAAGAUUACCCAGGGUAUUUUCCAAAACACCUGAUAUUACCUGAAGAUCGGACUUGCAUUUUGAAACUUUCUCUGCAGAAGCUCCAGUUCCUCGAAGACCCUGAGCUCUAUCUCCGUCGCUCAGUGCUGAUUAACAACUUGUUGCGGAAGAUUCACCUGGAAACUGAGCGGGAACGCUAUGAGUACCUUAAGGAAAGCCCAUGCUGUCGGACUGCCUAUUCGGAUACAAGAAAACGGCUGAAGUUUAUGGUACAAGAAUGCCGUUCUCAGUCCCUUUAUUACAAAGAACUGCAUUCAUAUCAUAUUGUGCCUUAUUCUCCGGAGAAUGCCAUUUAUGGAGUGGGCUAUUCAAGUGGCCACUUGGAGCAAAAUUCUCAAUUGCUUAUUUAUAAAAUGAAAUGAGGGUUUUUUGUUUUUGUUUUUGUUUUAAAAAGACAUGUGGAUGAUUUUUUUUCUGGAUCCUUGGAUGGCUUAUUACCAUGCUAAAGUGAUGCAUUAAUGUGCAAACAUGGGAGAGAUCAAAGGUGCAAGUCACCUUCAGCUAUAUUGCAGAAUGCGCCAGUGGUAGCAUUUAGGACUUGAGGCUGCUUGGUUGCACAGUGAUGGUGCGUGUGAAAACCGUGCAAUCUGGGAUUUCUAAUAAGCCAUGAGCCCUGAUGUGAAGUGCUUAUUGGCUGUUCAGUUUUCUAUAUGUAUAUAUUCAGACUAACUUUAACUGCUAAGUUAUGCCACCCUUCCUUAGAAAUGUAGACUGACAAUAAGAGAGUAAUAUGCUGGCUGGGCUGAAGUGAGAGUUAAAGGGGGUGGAUAGCUACUUCUCAGAAAGGUCUAAAAAGACUCAUAAUCAUUAAAAAUAUUGGUUCAUUUACAUCACCCCUCUUUUUGAAAUAUUCAACAGCAUUAAUCAUCUAUGCUUAAUCAUUUAUUUGCUAGCAUGCUUGGUUUCUGUUUCAGUCAGUACUGAUUUUAUUAAAAUUCAAUAAUAUUGAAAUCUGAAAAUGGAUAAUUGGGGGUGAGCGGGGAACUACAUUCAUUUGCUUCUUAAAUUUGACCAGAAUCCUCUCUCGGAAUUGCUGUUAUACCGAUUUGGCUCUAGGAUUGCAGGAUGCCUAUCAUAAGGGUGGGAACAGCACCUUUUUUUUAAAAAAAAACAAAAAACAAAAAAACUAGAACCCCAGUGUAAUUGUGAAGAAGAUUUCUGAUCCAGCACCCACACCCAGGAGCAAAAUACUAAUAGAACAAGUGGGACCAAAUAUACAGAAUUUUUUUUAAAUAAGUGUUUCUAAGUAUAUGCUCAGCUGAGACGUGUUUUUUUGUAUCAGAACAGAGAUUGCAAUCCUUUGGAUUACAAUCCUUUGGAGAUGAAUAUUCACACAUGGUCCCUCUUCCUACCCUUUCUUCAUUUCAGCAGUCUAAUUUCAUUGGUAGAAAAUAUUCUGCUGGUGCUUUGGUUAAACCAUUGGUUGUUCAGAAACUUUUGCAAACCACUAGCAGAUCUAUUGAAAGAUCUUCAUCUAAUGUCUGCUGGCCCCUGGCCUAAUACAAUCAGUAUUAAUAUUUUUUGCCUAUUGUUAUGUGUGUAUGGGGUGUUUGUGUGAUUUGGGGAGAUCACAUGUUGAAUUGUAUCAUAUUGCUGUAAGAGACAAAUCUGUUCAUGUUGUCCCAAAGUUCACAAUUGACAUAGGAAUCCCAUGGGAGCCUGUGAAAUGUCUUUAAUUAGUUUUGAAGGUAGCCUACAAGGAAGAUAAGUGAUGGCUUGGUGAAGAUCACCAGAAAAGUUGCAGGUGCCAAAGUUCUCUUCAAAAAAAUGCCAAAGAGAAAUACUAGGCAGGUGUUUGUAAAAGAGAACCUGCUUCCAAAGCUAAGAUGCUGUGUGUUGUGGAAAGGAAACCCUGAUAGCUGUUUUAUUCCAAUUUAAUGGUAAUCCCCCCCCCCCCCCAAGAAUUUUUAGGAACCACAAUCAGUGUGACAUUUUUCUAAUGGGUCCCAUUUCAUGGUCAAACCACAAUUUUAGAGUUCCCUGUGAAGAGUGCAUAACUGUGAAGCCUGUUACAACCUGAGGGGGUUUUGCUCUUAGGUGUUGAGUUGUGCAUUAUAGGCCUGUGACAUAACUAAUAGAUGAAUAUUCUUAUGCAGAAACACAGCCUAGAUGAGAGAAGUACUGAGCAGUACUGAAGAUCCUGUUUUUGUUUCAUGUGGGCUUAUUUGGGGAAUCUCCUCCCCCCUCCACAGCGGCCUGUUCCACCUUGGUGGCCUCCAGAUGUGCUGGGUUUCAAUUCUCCUGAGUCUCAGCCAGUGGCCUGUAUCAGAAGUGGCUCUAUAAGAAUGGAAUCCAGGUUGUACUGCACAUGUCAUAACACAAACCCUGUGACUUAAGUACUUACAUCCAGUGUCAGGAUGCAAAUGUGCAUGGGCAAGUGUACACUGAGACAUCAAAACACAACAUUUGUCAUUUUUUUCAUCACUGUUGGCCGAAGAUGCCUAUGCACCUAGAUCUGUAACCAUCCAGUUGUUCCUGGACUGGAUAUCCUCUCCGUCUCAGUCCACAUGGUCGGUGGCAGGGUGGGUUGCAACCUACCAUGCCUUUCUCCCUAGGUUACUAUUUGGCCCUCCUCUGAUACUCAGCAUUUUCUGGCCUUGAAUAUACCAGCCCUCUACUUCUCACACUACUAUUCACUUCAUUAGGGGAGAUGGGGAUGGCUUUGGCAAAUUUUUGGACAUUCCCAAGUAAAAUGUACUCCUUGUCUCAUAUAUGGAUGGUGUGUGUUCGAUAAAUAACUCAAGGCAGCAAACACAUCUAAUACCUAACCCUAACC